rnacentral:rRNA from 1 species
AUGUCCACGAGACUCAAGCAAUACAACGAAUUAUUUCACCAAUCCCCUCUCUCCCUUCUAACACUUGCAAAUCCGGAUCGAAGUGGGAUGCUUAGUCUGAACCGACUCGGCAAGGAAAAACCGACUCGGAUCAGAGCCCAGCCCCUCUUGUCUUUAUAUACACCAUCGAGCCGGCUCAUUGGAAAACACCACGAAGCGUUUACGCUAGCUGUAGAUCACGAGAUGGCGCGCCCGCCGCUCCUCUCUGGUGGACCCAUCUACGUCCCGCCGCGUCAGGCAGCAGCGGUCGGCCACGCCGUCGCCGGUGUCGCCGACGACAAGUCAGGCCCGGCCUACCAGCGGCGGACCUGGGACGCGCUGAGGGCCAGCAUAACCGGCCACGUCAACAAGGCCACGCCCGCCAACAUCCGCCACGUCCUGCCGGAGCUCCUUGCCGAGAACCUCGUUCGCGGGCGCGGCCUGCUCUGCCGCGCGCUGCUCAAGUCCCAGGCCGCCUGCCCGGCCUUCACCGACGUGUUCGCCGCGAUCGCGGCCGUCGUUAACUCCAAGAUCCCGGCCGUCGGCCGGCUCCUACUCGUCCGCCUCGUGGUGCGCCUCCGGCGCGCCCACGUCACCGGCGACAAGCACCAGCUGGCGGCCGCGGCGAUGUUCGUCGCCCACCUCGUGAACCAGGGCGUGGCGCACGAGCUGCUGGCGCUGGAGCUCGUCGAGAUGCUGCUCGCCGAGCCCACGGACGACGGCGUGGAGGUGGCUGUCGGGGUCGUCACGGAGUGCGGCGCGGCCCUCGGCGAGGCGUGCCCCAGAGAGGUCGACGCCGUGUUCGACGCCCUCCGGAGCAUCCUCGUCGAUGCCGACGUGGACCGGCGCAUCGGGUUCUUGAUCGAGGGCCUCUUCGCGGUUCGGAGAACCCAGUUCCGGGGGCACCCUCCCGUCCGCCCAGAGCUGGACCUCGUCGAGCAGGAGGAUCAGUUCACGCAUCAGAUCGAGAUCCCCCUCGAGGACAGCCAUGUCAAGCAGCUCGACCCCGAGAUCCAUCUCGACGUGUUCAAGCCAAGCGCCACCUUUCUGCAGGACGAGGCAGCCUACGAAGACCUCAAGCGAAGCAUGCUAGGAGACGAUGGCGAGCACAUUGAAGAAAGCGAGCCCAACGACGACGACGACGACUUCCACAGGGAAGACAUGGAGAUGGAGGUGAUCAAGGACGGGACGGCCACCAACCUGAUCAACCUCCGGAGGACGAUAUACCAGACGAUCAUGUCGAGCGCCGGCGCCGAGGAGGCCGGGCACAAGCUCCUGUCCAUCGUGAGGCCGGGCCAGGAGGCGGAGCUCUGCGCCAUGCUCGUGGAGUGCUGCAAGCAGGAGAGGGCGUCGUCCAACACGAGGUUCUACGGCCAGCUCGGGCAGCGGCUUUGCCGGAUCAGCCGGGCGUACCAGGCAGGCUUCGAGGCGUGCUUCGCGCGGUGCUACGCGGCGGCGCACCGCAUGGCAACCGACGAGCUGCGGGCCGCCGCGGGGCUCUUUGCGCACCUGCUGGCCGCGGACGCCGUCCCGUGGCGCAACGUGCUGGGCGGGGUCAGGAUCACGGAGGAUGACACCACCUCGUCGUCGCGCAUCUUGAUGAAGGUAAUGUUCCAGGAGAUGGCGGAGCAGCUCGGGGUACGGCUGCUCGGCCGGAGGAUGAACGACGACGACGAGCCGGAGGUCCGUGACGCCCUUUUCCCCCGGGACUCCGCCGAGAGCACGCGCUUCGCCAUCAAUUUUUUCACGGCGAUUGGGCUUGCAGGUGUCACUGAACCUGCGAGGAGGAUAUUACUAUCAGAAACAUGUGGUUUGUGA